rnacentral:lncRNA from 1 species
AAGAGCUACUGAAUUGAAACAUAGAUAACAAACGAAAAACGGCAUAUUAAGAUCAGUUGACUAUUGAGAAGCAAACGAUUAAAACUUGAGCUGAAAAGGUAAGUUCCUAUAUAUUUAACAGAAAUCCUCCUAUCUUUAAAGAUGUAUACAGAAAUUAAACUUUGAAUGUCAAAAAGAAGAUACAAAAUAAUGAAAAUUAGUAAUGAGACAGCAAGGACACUUGUAAUCCUAAAAUGGUAAUAAUUUUAUAGUACUUUAAAAAAUCAAAGAAGUGAUAUGGACGAAAAUACAAUUUUUGAAAUGAAAUCGUGUAAAAAAAGUGGCUUGUUGUCCAACUUUAAAAUAAAACUACAGUCAAACCUUUGUUAAGAGACACCUUAAGGGAGAGCAAGAAAGUGGUCUCUUAAGAAAAUAGGUCUUUUGAUACAGGUUAUUUAUAUAAAAUGUACUACAGAGGGAUUUAAAAUUUGUGGUCUUUAAACACAGGGUUUUGCUUAAUACAGGUGGCCUCUAAAGCAGAUUUGAUUGUAUGUUUAUAGUGACAUCUUUCUCAAUGAAGCAUGCAUAAUGCAGACAUGACCACGUGCUUGUUUUGGAUAAUAAAAAAAUGUAAAAUAUAUAAGUUUGAAAUAUAUGGUUUUAUGGUUUAAAUGGAACAGCAAUAUAACAAACAUGCAGCUAUUAACACUAACUGUAAUAAAUCAAGUAAUUGCCAUCAAAUUUGCUUGAAACAAUAUUUUAACAAGAGCAAUAUGUACUUUGUAUUUCAGAUCUCUAGAUUCCAACAAUAAGGAUGUAUUUUUCAAACGAAAGCCACAGCAACAUUUAUCUGAAGGAACUUAACAAUGCUAUGAUUAAGUUAUUAAUACCAAACACUGUACUGUUAUUUGCGUUUCUAUUCGCCAGCCUCGCUGGAAAUGGCUUAGUUUUGUACGUUUAUACAUUCAAACUUAAAUCAAAAACGGACGACAGAUAUUUCAUUCCAUGUUUAGCUUUUGUUGAUAUUAUAACAUGUAGUACUGGCGCAUCAUUUCUCAUUUCAUUGAAUUUCAAUCCUUUAAAUUUUCGAAAUGACUUGAUAUGUAAAUUGAUCUGGAGUUUAAAUCAUUCAAUUGCCCUAAUUUCGGCUCUGUUGCUAUUAGCAAUUGCUGUGCAACGAUAUAUUAAGGUGAGUCGACUAUUAAACUCUUCCAUGAGUCUGAGAAGUAAACGAUUGACAAUUACAGC